GUAGAACCUAACAUGGUCUUGACAUCCAUAGAAUUCUGCAGAGAUGUGGGAGUGCCUUCGGGAUCUAUGAGACAGGUGCUGCAUGGCUGUCGUCAGCUCGUGCUGUGAAAUGUUGGGUUAAGUCCCGCAACGAGCGCAACCCUUAUUCUUUGUUGCCAGCGAUUUGGUCGGGAACUCAAAGGAGACUGCCGUUGAUAAAGCGGAGGAAGGUGGGGACGACGUCAAGUCAUCAUGGCCCUUACGACCAGGGCUACACACGUGCUACAAUGGCGUAUACAAAGGGAAGCGAAGGUGCGAGCUGGAGCGGAUCUCAUAAAGUACGUCUAAGUUCGGAUUGGAGUCUGCAACUCGACUCCAUGAAGUGGGAAUCGCUAGUAAUCGUAGAUCAGAAUGCUACGGUGAAUACGUUCCCGGGCCUUGUACACACCGCCCGUCACCCCAUGGGAGUGGGUUGCACCAGAAGUAGAUAGCUUAACCGCGAGGGGGGCGUUUACCACGGUGUGAUUCAUGACUGGGGUGAAGUCGUAACAAGGUAACCA
rnacentral:rRNA from 1 species